rnacentral:rRNA from 1 species
AUUGAACGCUGGCGGCAGGCUUAACACAUGCAAGUCGAGCGGAGAUGAGGUGCUUGCACCUUAUCUUAGCGGCGGACGGGUGAGUAAUGCUUAGGAAUCUGCUUAUUAGUGGGGGACAACAUUCCGAAAGGAACGCUAAUACCGCAUACGUCCUACGGGAGAAAGCAGGGGAUCUUCGGACCUUGCGCUAAUAGAUGAGCCUAAGUCGGAUUAGCUAGUUGGUGGGGUAAAGGCCUACCAAGGCGACGAUCUGUAGCGGGUCUGAGAGGAUGAUCCGCCACACUGGGACUGAGACACGGCCCAGACUCCUACGGGAGGCAGCAGUGGGGAAUAUUGGACAAUGGGGGGAACCCUGAUCCAGCCAUGCCGCGUGUGUGAAGAAGGCCUUAUGGUUGUAAAGCACUUUAAGCGAGGAGGAGGCUACUGAGACUAAUACUCUUGGAUAGUGGACGUUACUCGCAGAAUAAGCACCGGCUAACUCUGUGCCAGCCGCCGCAGUAACAC